GACGUAGGGCGCGAGCGUUGUCCGGAUUUAUUGGGCGUAAAGAGCUCGUAGGCGGCUUGUUGCGUCGACUGUGAAAACCCGCGGCUUAACUGCGGGCUUGCAGUUGAUACGGGCAGGCUAGAGUUCGGUAGGGGAGACUGGAAUUCCUGGUGUAGCGGUGAAGUGCGCAGAUAUCAGGAGGAACACCAAUAGCGAAGGCAGCUCGCUGGGACGGUAAUUGACGCUAAGGCGCGAAAGCGUGGGGAGCAAACAGGGAUUAAGAUACCCCCGGGUAG
rnacentral:rRNA from 1 species